rnacentral:sRNA from 1 species
UUCCUGCUGGGAGGUCCGGCGCGAGUCAU